GGCAAAACGCGAAGAACCUUACCUAGGCUUGACAUGCAUCUCUAAGCACGUGAAAGCGUGUGACCCUUCGGGGAAUUUGCACAGGUGCUGCAUGGCCGUCGUCAGCUCGUGUCGUGAGAUGUUGGGUUAAGUCCCGCAACGAGCGCAACCCUUGUGACUAGCUGCCAGCACGUCAUGGUGGGAACUCUAGUCAGACUGCCCAGAUCAACUGGGAGGAAGGUGGGGACGACGUCAGGUCAGUAUGGCCCUUACGCCUAGGGCUGCACACGUACUACAAUGCCCAGCACAAUGAGAACCGAGACCGCGAGGUGGAGGAAAUCAAUAAAACUGGGCCCAGUUCAGAUUGUAGGCUGCAACUCGCCUACAUGAAGUCGGAAUCGCUAGUAAUGGCGCAUCAGCAACGGCGCCGUGAAUACGUUCCCGGGUCUUGUACACAC
rnacentral:rRNA from 1 species